rnacentral:lncRNA from 1 species
CUCGGGUCGGGGCCGCUCGGGCCGGGGCCGGGGCUGAGGACGGAGCCAUGAGCGCUCUGAGCGGUCGGGACGGGUGGAGGUCAGUACCUGCGACCUGGACUACAACCUCUACAGGGAUGACUUCCCAUACCGGCCAGGAGAACGCACGCAAGAGCGGGAGGCACGAGCAGCCCCAGCCCCCAGCACGGGGCGCGGAGCAGCGCCAGCUCCACGGGGACGCGGAUGAAACUGAGAGCCGAGGAGCUGCACUCCAUCAAGGGGGAGCUGAGCCAGAUCAAGGAGAGGGUGGACAACCUGCUGGAGAGCCUGGAGCGCAUGGACCAGCGCAGGGAGCGGCUCUCGGGGUGCAAGGAGAGCGAGAAGAAGAAGGCGGAGGUGGGCUCAGCAUCACCGGCCCCGCCGGGAGAGGGCUCACGAGGCAAGGAGGGGAGCGGAGGGGACGGGCGCAACAUCGACAGCGCCGACGAGAGCACAGACACGGAGGAGACGAUGAAGGCCCACACCUCGGAUCCCGAGGGGAGCCAGUAGUGGGGAUGCCGGAGCCCCGCAGCUCCUGCCCCAUCUCCGCGUCCGCUUGGAGGCUCCCGGCAGGUGCCAGGCCGGUGCCCAGUGCCCCUCCCUGCACUCACGUCCCCACCACCAGUGCCAGCAGCCCCGUGCCCCGCGUUGGCCAGCCGUGGUGAGAGAAGUCUUUGUGUUUGAGUGCGCGUUCUUCUUUUUAUUCCUCCUGUUUUGCAGUGUAAGUAAGUUGGGGGUCGGGGGGGUAGGAGGGCAGAAGCUCCGCACCCCGAAGGAUCGUUAGCCCAGAGCUGAGGUCCGCCGUGUCCCCGCUCCUCACCUCCCCACUGGGUAAAGCAUCCCCUGGGCAAAGCAUCACACCCAGCCCCUCCAUCCCACGAGCACAGCGCGGGCCGGAUGCGCUCCCCGUGCAGGACGAAGCCACAGCGCUGUCCCUGCUGGGCAGUGGUGAGCACACGGGUGGCCACAGGUGAUACCGCCAGCACAGGGCGCCCAGUGGUGCGGUAUGGAGCCCAGCAUCCCCUCACCAGUGGGCUUCUCUUAACGGUGUCCCGAGGGCUCCGUUCUUUGCCAUCCCUCCAUCCCUCUCCCUCCGUGUCUGUGUCCCCCGUUUCGGGGUCGUCCUCCUCGUGCUGGUAGGAAGUUGUCCUGUAUUUCUCAUUUGCUCCGGCGAAAGAGUGAAUUGUGCUGGAAAGGACAAAAACAAUCCAUCAUUUGUAUUGCUUUUCUCUGGUUAUUCGGCCUCAGGUGUACCCCCAGUGCUGAUGUGCGAAUGGGGGCGCGGCGGGGUCAGCCCCCACCCAGCUCUGUGGGGAUCUCAGCAGCCCCAAGCAGGCAGAACUCACCAGGAAAAAAAAAAAAACCCAACCAAUUUUAUUGUACAAACCCAAAACAACACAACACAAGAGGUCCUUCUGCCACCCUGGAGCACCGCAGGCAGCAGUCACUGAGCCACGAGGUGCCGGGAUGUGGCGGUGGGGGGGAUGUGGCGGCGUCUCCAGCAGCACCAGGCCUGCUUUGGGGUCUCUGCUGGCACAGGGGGUGGUUUGAGGACCCCGAGGGUCCCUGCUGGCGCCAGGGGCAGCUCUGGGGGUCUCUGGUGGCAUCGGAAGCAGCGCAGGGGGCUCUGUGGUGGUCUCAGGUAAGCCGUGGGGGUCCCCGAUGGCGCCGGGGGCAGCUCGGUGGGUCUCGGUGGCAGUCCUGGGGGGCUCCGAUGGUGUGAGGGGUGGCUCAGGUAAGGCCUGGGGGUCGCCGGCACCGCCAAGGGCAGCUCCAGAGGUCGCCGACGGCACGAGGGGUGGCUCCGUGGGGUCAGUGACGGCACCCGGGGCGGCUCCGGGGGCUCCCGGUGGCCCCAAGGGCGGCUCGCGGGGUCCCUGCUGGCAGUCCUGGGGGUCCCAGCAGCGUGAGGGCAGCUCAGAUAAACCCACCGGGCUCAGAGGCAGCGCCGCGGGCUGCUCCAGCGCUCUGCGGCGGCACCCGGGCUGGCUCCGCAGGGACUCCGGC